CUUUUGUUUUUUACGUCCCAUGUCGGUGAAAUUGUGCAGCUCACAUUGUUCUAAGCAGGUUUUAAGUCUCAAAUUAAAAUGAAUUUUAGCAGUUUUUCACUCUGUUAACAAACAGUAUGAGUUUAACAUUAGGCUACUCCCUAAAUUCAAUAAAUUUUGUAUAGUUAGACCAGCAUGAGGUGCUUGUGAACGGUUGUUCGUGCGAUUGUGUUCUACCAAUGUUCUUCAGACUGGUUUCAAACACUGAUAGGAAAACCUGCAGCACUCAAUCGUACUAAUGUAUAAUGCAAUUCCUCGAGUGCUUCAAUUGCUGCAAGGUGCCAACAGAGAACAAUGAUGUACACACUUUGGAUUUCAGUAAUUGCGAUUUAGCAGAUGUUCCACAAACUGUAUUGCUGUACGAAAGAACUCUGGAAACACUGUUGUUGAACUCAAAUCACAUUUAUGAUCUACCCCUGCCACUGUUUCACUGCCAGUCCUCCAAGUCUUAAGUAUUAGUAAUAAUGAUCUUGCCAUCAUACCUGCUGCUAUAGGAUACUUGGUAAAUCUAAGAGAACUGGAUGUUAGCAGAAAUAGUAAGUAUUAAAUAAAUUUUAUUUAAUUUUUUAAUUUUUUUAUCUAAGUUUUAGUAUAUUUCGCACUGGUCUUUCAUUCUUGCUAAAACUUGACAACUUGCACAUCAUAAUACACAGAAUGUGCAUGCUGAAAGA
rnacentral:lncRNA from 1 species